UAAUACGGAGGGUGCAAGCGUUAAUCGGAAUUACUGGGCGUAAAGCGUUCGUAGGCGGUUAUUUAAGUUAGAUGUGAAAGCCCCGGGCUUAACCUGGGAACUGCAUUUAAAACUGGGUAACUAGAGUUUAGGAGAGGGAAGUGGAAUUUCAGGUGUAGCAGUGAAAUGCGUAGAGAUCUGAAGGAACACCAGUGGCGAAGGCGACUUCCUGGACUAAAACUGACGCUGAGGAACGAAAGCGUGGGUAGCAAACGGGAUUAGAUACCCCGGUAGUCCACGCCCUAAACGAUGUUCACUAGUCGUCGGAAUGCUAGUCAUUUCGGUGAUGCACUUAACAGAUUAAGUGAACCGCCUGGGGAGUACGGUCGCAAGAUUA
rnacentral:rRNA from 1 species